rnacentral:rRNA from 1 species
UACGGAGGGUGCAAGCGUUUGUCCGGAUUUAUUGGGCGUAAAGCGCACGUAGGCGGCUUAGCAAGUCCCAUGUGAAAGCCCACGGCUUAACCGUGGAAGUGCAUGGGAAACUGCUGAGCUUGAGUACUUUAAGAGGAUCGCGGAAUUCCCGGUGUAGAGGUGAAAUUCGUAGAUAUCGGGGAGGAACACCAGUGGCGAAGGCGGACGAUCUGGGAAGAUACGUGACGCUGAGGUGGCGAAAAGCGUGGGGAGCAAACAGG